rnacentral:rRNA from 1 species
CAAUAGCGUAUAUUAAAGUUGUUGCAGUUAAAGAGCUCGUAGUUGGAUUUGUGGCGUACGGUGUGUUCCGGGCACUUGUUGUCUGAGUAACCUGCUGUUGCCAUCCUUGGGUGGAACCUGUGUGGCAUUAGGUUGUCGUGCAGGGGAUGCCCAUCAUUUACUGUGAAAAAAUUAGAGUGUUCAAAGCAGGCUUAUGCCGUUGAAUAUAUUAGCAUGGAAUAAUGAGAUAGGACUUUUUUGCUAUUUUGUUGGUUUGCGCAAGAAGGUAAUGAUUAAUAGGGACAGUUGGGGGUAUUCGUAUUCCAUUGUCAGAGGUGAAAUUCUUGGAUUUUUGGAAGACGAACUACUGCGAAAGCAUUUACCAAGGAUGUUUUCAUUAA